GGCAGUGUAGCGUAAUGGGUAAGGAGCUGGUCUUGUAACCUAAAGGUCACGGGUUCGACUCCCAGGUAGGACGCUGUCG
rnacentral:tRNA from 1 species